UUCUUCCCAAAACAAAAAGCCCUGAAAGUCCCCCAAGGCACUCAGACCUCUCGUUCCUGCAAGGCAGCCUGACAGUCAGUAUAGGAUGGAAUAGGAUGGAAUUACACAAAGUUGAGAAUGAGGAGUUUGCAAGAAGCCUUUUGCUGCUAACAGCAAAUAUCAAUUGAUUCACAAGAACUGAAUGUUUUGGAACAAGAAAGCCUGAAUCCUUAUAUUCCCCUGAGCCACAACAGUGAGCUGCACCACCUCAUGCCUCAUAGCCCAUGAGGUUAUGGAGGGUUGAAGGACUCUCUUGGAAAUGCAAGGACCCUUCAGGAAACAGCAGAGGAGCCAGAUAUCAGAACAAAAACCACAGUUUGGAGUACAACACUACUUUUCACUCGUGGAUGGUCUUUAUACAGGCCAUGGACCCCCAUGCAUGUAUGAAAAAGCAGCAUGUCCAUCUGUGUUAAUGUGUGACGAGGUUAUAAAUUCAGCACUGCCAGUGACAGAAAGAUUGCUGGAAUUUCUUACCUGCACAAGGGCAUAUCUGCAUUUUGUUUUCUGGGCUGAACUAAGGAGAUGGCUGCCAAUAAGGAAGAUUACAUGUUGCCUUGAAUUUUCCCAGAAUAUGUCUCCUUGGAUCCAGCACUAUGGUUCAGCCUUUUGUACACAUGGAGAGGGCAGCUGGAACAUCUCAGAUACAGAUGUGAACCUCCCCAGAGUUAAUUAUUCGCGUUAUUGUUUGCAUCUUCAAUUUGAGUUACCCAGCUUGUAUUAAAAGUCCUACAUACCAUGCA